rnacentral:rRNA from 1 species
CCCUUAGAUGUCCGGGGCCGCACGCGCGCUACACUGAAGGAAUCAGCGUGGCUUUCUCCCUGACCCGAAAGGGUUGGGAAACCCGUUGAAUCUCCUUCGUGAUAGGGAUUGGGGCUUGAAAUUGUUCCCCAUGAACGAGGAAUUCCCAGUAAGCGCGAGUCAUAAGCUCGCGUUGAUUACGUCCCUGCCCUUUGUACACACCGCCCGUCGCUACUACCGAUUGAACGGUUUAGUGAGGGCCUCGGAUUGGUCUCGGCCCGCUCUUUACCGGGCGGCGCCUUUGGUCGAGAAGACGCUCGAACUUGAUCGUUUAGAGGAAGUAAAAGUCGUAACA